rnacentral:rRNA from 1 species
GCCUGCCCGGUGACAGAUUUAACGGCCGCGGUACCCUAACCGUGCGAAGGUMGCAUAAUCACUUGUUCUUUAAAUGAGGACUCGUAUCAACGGCAUCACGAGGAUCCUACUGUCUCCCCCCUCURAUCGGUGAAACUGAUCUCUCCGUGAAGAAGCGGAGAUGUACAUAUAAGACGAGAAGACCCCAUGGAGCUUUAAACCCAACAACACCCGCCCCUCUCCAAAUCCUAUUAUUUUCCCGGUGAUUGUUUGUUUGGUUUUAGGUUGGGGUGACCGCGGAGUAUAAGAUAUCCUCCAUGAAAAAAAGCUAACUGCCCUUAUUAGAGAAAGACACUUCCAAAAAAUAAUAAAUUAAUUUUAAAUGAUCCGACMUUCGAUCAACGAACCAAGUUACCCUGGGGAUAACAGCGCAMUCCGUCCCGAGAGCCCCUAUCGACAGGCGGGUUUACGACCUCGAUGUUGGAUCAGGGUAUCCUAGUGGUGCAGCAGCUACUAAAGGUUCGUUUGUUCAACGAUUAAAACCCU